GCGACUGUUUUACGUGCGCAUCAUCAAGUUUGCCCCAAUUGCUUAGAGAGCAUCAUUGGGCUUGGUUUGGUUUCUGUGUUGGCUACCUACUUGGAAGAGAGUGUCCCUUAAUAUUUGUCUUUGUAUCGGCUUGCACCCUUUUAGGGGGAAUGCUCGCUGAUCUUAGUAAUGCUUCUCAUAUUCCAUUGUCACGCUAUCACAGUGUAGUGGUGGCAACGGCCUAUGUGCAAGUAUUCGUAAUCUUGGAUGCGGAAUGCGGAAUUGGGURUUGGGUUGAAUAAACCUUUUAUCCCAAGCAGAGCAUCUUAUGCUCGGCACGUACGACACUAGCAAUUGCGUUGACCUUUCCCAACUUGAUUGGUGGGGGGG
rnacentral:misc_RNA from 1 species